CCCGCCUGCCUCAGUCCCUAGACCCCUGAGACCACAACUUUGGAAGGAGUAGCAGAUGAAGGGGAGAGCCCAGAGGAGCAGCUGGAGGCGAGGCCAGCACGGGGCCAGGAAGCUGGGAGACAGAGCUGUAACCUGUUGGGCUCAGACCUUCAGGCAGUUCCCACAGGAAGCAGGAGUGUAACACUGAGGGAUGCUGAGCAAUGGAGACAGGAAGAAGUCCAUCUGUCCCUGCAAGAACCAAGGACUCUUGUGCCAGCAAGGACCCCAGGACCCCUGCUUCCAUAAAGCAAAGGAAGGCUAGGGUGACAAGGCGGGAAGGAGAGACUCGGGAGAGUUACCGUGUGUAGGGGCGGACUGAGCACCAAGACAGAGGAGGAAGAUUGGAGAGGAUCGGGUGGGCACAAGCGCAUGGCCACCCACCCUCCAGUGCAUACUUGGCACGCAGUGUCCACAUGCAACUGCUGGCCUGCACAAAGCCCAUGAAUCCAAAGCUGCAUGGGCUACACAUGGGAGGCACACACACACACACACACACACACACACACACACAUACACACACACACACCUCCCUACCAUCUGUGUACAUGACAGACAUGUCCACACAUCCAAGUGGGCACCCCCAAAUCCGGAUAAGAAUUAAGAAGCCCAGUGAAAUGCCUCGUUCUCCAUGCCCAAAGAUAAAUAAUUCAUUUGUUGUGUAACUGCUCUUGUUCCAAAAAUAAUUCCCUUGUCUCAGCUUCCAUGGGGGAGGGGAGCAGAACGGGCUGGCAGUGGGCCUCCCUUGUGGUGGGGGUGUAAGGGCCAGGGUCUCUGCAGAAGGAGGGCUGGUUCUGUGGGCAGGACUAAGCCAAAGGAGGAGGGGCAAGAGUGAAGAACUCUAGCCCACUCCCUAGCAGAAGACUGCUGGGGAAGGUGCAUGAAUUCCAAAGGGGGUUCAGGACUUGGGACCACCUCACGUCCUUCUGGAGUCAGAGAAGGAUGAGGCUUUGUACCAAGUAACACAGCAAAGCUGGGUCAGGAUCAAGGUUCCUAAGACACUGACAGUCACCAUGGAGCCAAGGGGCCCUGUCCGCCUGAUGAGCUGGGUAAACAGCACUGUCUCUUAGCUACCUCACUCCUGCAGUGUGGGGGAAGCCAGCAGCCCUUUCCUGGGCCGUUUGAUGGGAAGUGUCAAGGUGCAAUUUGGCUGCUCAUCCUGGGACACAGAAGACUGAGCAGCAGCGGGGGGUCACAGCCCGUAGCCCAUCUGAUUCAUCCUUUACUUGCCCAUGAGGAAACCAAGUUCCAAAGCGCUGGGGAGAUUUGGCUGGGUACCGUGCAAGCUGCACACAGCCAGACCUGGCGCCAGCUCACACCCUGCACUCCAGACUCCAGAAACUAUGAUGGCCCUAGACAGUUGCAUUCCAGCAAGGACAAAAGGUGGUCAGAGAGAUCCACAUUUGUUCCGGAAAGCCACAACAGUGUCCACAAGAGCCACCUCCACCCCCUGCUCCUCCUCCAGGGAGACUCUAGGAAAGAGCGCUUUGAAAAAAAAAAAUGUCUAGACUUUGUGUUAAAGUGAAGCCAAUUUAAAGCUGUGAGCAGCAGAGGAGAAAAGGGAGGGAGGCAUGUGAAUGCACCCAGAGGAGGCUCCAGGGGCCGUGCAUGCCGCAGAGCUAGGUGAUAAGGUCUAACCUGGAUCAAAGGCUGGCUCUGUAGCAGGACGGGAACCUUAGAGGCCAGCCUGACAUACCUUUCUCCCCACUGUGGGGCCAAGUGUGGGAGUCACAAGGCUGCCCAGGCAGCUGACAGUCCUCCACCCUCACCCACACCACACAACGCUCUCAUAGCCGAAGACUUUGGCUCCUCUGACACAUAGCCUCCAUUUCCCACCAGCAGCCAGAUCGUCGUGGAGGGGGGUAAGUCCUCUCUCAGUUGCUGUCUUGAGAAGCAGGAACCAGCCUGUCUGAGAGCCCUCGGCCUGUAAUAGUGGUUCACCCUCAGUCUGGGGACCACAUUGAUAUGCAGGUGCACACACAGGUGUGCAGCUGGCUCGGUGCAGACACAAGGGCACUGAUGUAUACACCGAGAUGGCAUGCAGGUUGGCACAGACGCAGGAGUAUGUGUGUGCACACAGGACAGCAAUGGUUAACCAUGGGGCCACAUGCUGGUGUGUGCAACGGUGGCAGGCAUUCUUGUCUGUGGCCUUGGAAACGCAGCCAAUUACUCCCCACUCAAUGCUACCUAAGCACAUGUAUGUUGCUCAUACAUGUGUGUGUGCGCACAUGCUUACACCACCAGCCAUACACAGAGCCCCUCCCCCUGCUCAGAUCUAAGCUAACACAUCACUUUAGCCCACAGCUGAGGAAAGCCCAGGUGAGGCAGAGGAUAGGAAGGAGCCAAGAGAGGGGGCAGAAAACGGCCCUGGUUUGGAGAGGUGCGCUGGUUCCCCGGCUCUGCCCUUCCAAUCAGGCAAGGGUAGGCGGAAUGCCCCAUAGUGUCCCCCCCCAGCCCUCAAGGUGACCCUGAAGUGGCCCUCUCCUGCUCCUCUGCUCCCCAGGCUGGUUUGGGCUGGGGCCCAGCGCCUACUCUCCCUGUGACGCAUGCACGGUGGGGAGGAGGCUCCCAGCACAGUGUCCCGUAUGCGUCAGUUGCCCUGUCCUCAUCCUGGGCUGUCUGCCCACCACCCGUUGAGGCCUGGUGCAGCCACGGGAAGGACAAGGCCACAAAGGCGCUGACUGCAGCACUUGGCCCCCUGCCCAGCUGCUCGCCAGAUCAAGGUGCAGGUGUGCAGGGGAUGGGUGUGAGGGUCUCAGGGUCAAAUAUACAAGGUCAGCCUCCCGUGCUCCUAGGAGGGUGCUCCUGGAACACAAACAUCCCUGGGAGGAAGGAGAAAGGAAGCUAUGGAGACAAACAAGCACGUCCAACAGGACUGACCACAGGGAGGGAGGUGACAGGCUUGGGUAUGACCCGUGUACCUGCUGCCUACCUCCCAAGACCCAAGGAGACAGAGACUGGACCAAGCUAAGCCCCCAAACAGAUCUAAGAGCAUGUCAGAAGGAGGAAGGAAGCGUGAGAACACACGUAAGAGCAUGUCAGGAGGAGGAAAGCGUGAGAACACAUCUAAGAGCAUGUCAGAAGGAGGAGGGAAGCGUGAGAACACACGUAAGAGCAUGUCAGAAGGAGGAGGGAAGCGUGAGAACACACGUAAGAGCAUGUCAGAAGGAGGAGGGAAGCGUGAGAACACACGUAAGAGCAUGUCGGAGGAGGGAAGCGUGAGAACACAUCUAAGAGCAUGUCAGAAGGAGGAGGGAAGCGUGAGAACACACGUAAGAGCAUGUCGGAGGAGGGAAGCGUGAGAACACAUCUAAGAGCAUGUCAAAAGGAGGAGGGAAGCGUGAGAACACACGUAAGAGCAUGUCAGGAGGAGGAAAGCGUGAGAACACAUCUAAGAGCAUGUCAGAAGGAGGAGGGAAGCGUGAGAACACACGUAAGAGCAUGUCGGAGGAGGGAAGCGUGAGAACACAUCUAAGAGCAUGUCAAAAGGAGGAGGGAAGCGUGAGAACACACGUAAGAGCAUGUCAGAAGGAGGAGGGAAGCGUGAAAGCGGCUGCCGAGAGCCCGAUAAUGACCAUGCUGAGCCCCAGGGGCAGCUUAGGAGCCAUGCAGCAACAGACACGCCAGCACAGGCAGGGAACACAUCUCAGAUCUGUGCAGCAUCGGCAAAGAGCAGUCUGGCCAGCUACAGGCUGUGCGAUGUCUCUUCCCAUGAAUCCUUGGAAAGGAGGAAGAGCCAGCAACCCCAGUGGGCACUGGGGUGGGGGUGUAGGUCAGAGCUGGAGAGAGACUGCCUGAGCCACCUGGCGGUGUUCUUCUGUCUCAGGCUUGGCUUCAGUGGCCAGGUUGACCCAGCUGGGGUUGUGCCUUGGCCAUGGUUUCCCUUCAUGGACUCGGAAUCCUGGCGUCCGCAAAGUGGGGUGAGCCCGGCUCAGUUGGAUUCCAAUCUUCUCAUAGGGAAGCUGGGGCCAGGACAAGAGAGGGAAUGUGGUCCAGGUCCUGCGUAGAACUAGAGCAGAUCAGACUCAGGACCCAGGGUGUCAAGCCCCAGCCUCUCAGUGGGAUGCUCUGCUCUCAGCAAGCGUUCACUCCCUGCAGUGCAGCGCUGGCCUGAACCCUGGCUCCCACACACAGCUCAGUGGACGUACCCCACAGGCAUGGCUGGCUAACAGUGGGUUCCCACAGGACAGAAGCCCAGGCCUAGCAGUGUACUUGGUAUGGCUUCUACCAUGACACCACAGCCUGUGGUGCUUUGAAUAAGAAUGGCCCACUCUGAGACUCUUGGUGAGCCUUGGGCAUUCUGAGCCUCAGUUUCCCCUCUUCUGUGGUAAGGUGCCCAGUACCCGGGACUUCCAGGAGCCUCUGGGACACAGCAGAGCACACCUGUCUUGUAACGUCAGUCUCAUCUGUGCUGACCCCAGGCCUCCCACUCCUAUGGGAACACUGCUCAGCUCAAGUGACAGGGACAGGACAUGGAAACAUGGCUGGUGCCCUGGUCACCCCUUAAAGAUGAAGGAAUUGGCAGGGAAACAUUGCUGGUGGCAGCUCAGCCCCAGCACAGACACCUCACAGGGUCAGGCUGGCCAAGCUCCCUCCAUGCCACAACUCACAUCCGUGACUUUACCCCAGAUUAAACAGAACGGAAGCCUCAGUCCCAGACAGAGCUCACAAAUCUUACAGCAAUGUCACCACCCCUUUCUAGAGGCUAGCACUGGGCCAUCGGGGCCACUCCCCAUCCUUCCACCUUCUGAGGCCAAGGCUUGGGCCUCAGGGCAGGACAGUAGGGUUUACUGCUGCCUUCCCCUUCUAGAGGCUUCUAAGGCAAACAGUCCUGGAUCUCUGCUCCUCUAUGAAGCUGGGAAAUUGUGCCACCACCACUGAACUACCUGGCAGGUUGAUAAAUUAGUGGGAUCUCAAGUAUGACAAGCCCUGGGAGAGGAAAAUGCAGGCACCGGAAGUAAGAGGCUCUGGGGUCAAAUACAGAGCUGUGUGACCCAGGCAGGUUCAUCACCCUCUCUGGGCUCCAGUCUCCUUGCCCAGAGGUGCCUUUUCAGUGGCUCAGGCAUACCUAACAUAUCCUUGAAUGUCAGCCCUGUGUGGCUAAUGCUUCAGUUAACAGACGAGAAGACUGGCGUACUAGACUCAAGGCAGUAGGGCACACACUGACCCUCAUGAGUUUCCUCCUCAGUGUACCCCUACCUGACAGAAGCCUGUCCCAGCCCCUGGGAGGCUAACUUCUCUGUCAAAUUCUUAGCUGAGACCUCAACCGUAGGACCUUUGCACAUGAUUCUGCUUAGCAUAUACUUUCUCAGCACACCCACUGCCUGACCUCAGUCAAGUCUCUGCUAAGCUGCUCCACACCUCACCCCUGCUUUGUCACUGAGAGAAGCCUGAGAGAACCCCCUUGUCGCUCAAGCUAGCUGUGGUCCCCUCACUGCACUCAACUGUGACACUAGGUCCUCAGCUGCCACCCACUCCCCUAUACCACCAGCCAGAACAGCACACGCAGUGCCUCUCGUUUACUGGUGCAACCCCCCCCCCCGCCCAUGCUUUCCAUAGCAGGCCCCGGCACACCAGGGCUGGGCCACUGUGUGCAGGAAGAGAGGCUGAAUGAAACCCAUGACUCCUCAGGGCCAGGGUGUCAGGUCAGAACUCACCAUCCAUGGGGGCUCUCGAUGUGUCAGGGAAUGCCCUGAGCCUCCUGGCCUUGUUAGCCCCUUACACUGUUCAUUUCAGACAGAGACAGAGGCUCAGAGAGGUUUAACUAUGCUCAAGGUCACACUGCUGGGAACCUGAGCCAGCCUGAGUCUUGCUAGGGUCUCUGCAGGGACUGUUUGCAUCUAUAACACUCUCCGUAGGUGCCUGAUGCUUGCUGCAUCCUCUCCCUCCCCCACCUCCCAACCAUGAUGUCAGCUCCAUCCUACCCUAACUUCAGCCUUCCCAGGUCCUACAACUGUGCUACCUGGAACGCAGAAUCAAGGCUGAUGUCUGAGCCAUCACUUCCACCAGGCCUGGCUUCCUACCUCUGUCAGAGCAGCAGGGGCAUGCGUCAGUGUUGCUCUCACCUUGUCCUAGAUGUCACCCAGGCCCCGGGGCCCGUGCACACACUGCCCGACACCCUCAGAACGUCCAGGACAGCCGGGGGCCUCUCUGUCUCUGUCUCACCCGAGGUGCUGGGUUUCAUCCACCCCAUUCAGUCACGUCCCAUUAGUCUCAGCCCACAAGCCAGCUGCUCUGCAUCCCCAGGGAGCUGGCCUCUGCCCUCUGCCUCAGCACCCAUACUGUAUUGCCCCUUGCUGGGAGCAGCCAUCGCUGUACCAUGUCACAGGGAGGAGCUAGCAGGCCAGAGGAACACGCCAUCCCUCCAGGCACACACAGUCAGGCACCACACCUCCAACACCCCAUAGAGGCUGCUCUUGUACCUGCUCUCUCUGCACAAUAGCCACAGCUUGCUGUCUCUGAGCUUUAGUGGGCUUCCAAAACCAAAAAGGACUCCCCUCUCCACCCUUUUCCACAUGUAUGGGGCUUGGAACUCUUGGCUGGAGACAUAGCCAAGAAGGGCCUGCCUUAGGUGGGGCCCUGACACAGGAAGAGCAUGGCUUUGGGGCAAUGAGGUCUGGGGAGUGGGUUCCUUGUGCAAGGCCUGAAAUUUAGGAUUUAUUGUCUGUGGGCCUCAAUUCCAUCAGUUGAGAGAACAGCGGUGUGCAUGGGUCUUGGGUUCUGCCCACCGUGUCCCUCUCCCAGCUCACAGGUUCCUCUACAUCCCUACUCCCAGCACUAACCACAGACAAACCUCCAAGCUGCUGCAGACAGGAAGUCAAGGAUUGCUACAAAGCCUUGGGCUUGGCCAGUGUCCAGAGUCUGCCAUGGAGGCCCAGCCCUGGUUUGUGAGCAGUUCUGCGAUCGAUACUUAGCCUGACCCAGCUCCUGCCCACCCCAGCCCCAGCCAACCCAAGGCUCCAGGCACAGAGGCCCUUAGGUGGCUCUGUAGGGAAGUCCAUUCUAACAGCACCCCAGUCACUUCCUGACUCUUGCAGACCCCGUCCCACCCUCGCUCAGGGUGCAGUCUUCCUUCUCCCCCACCAUCACAGGAUCUCUCCUCCCCUGGAACCCAACUCCCCUCCUAGCCUCUCCUCCCCACACCUGACCCUGCCCUUUCUCUCCCUGGCCUCUCCCCCCCCCCCCAGCCUCUCCUGUCUCCCCACCUAAUCUCUUUUCCCCUAUAAUGCCUGCCCACUCCCAGCCUGGCCUCUCCACCCACAUUGCCCCUGCCCUCUUCUGCCUGACCUCUCCUCCCCCACUCGGCUCAGCAGCAGCCCCUGGGCACUACUCACCGGUCUCCACUGGACCCGCUCUUGCACAGUGCCUGUGCGCGCACGCUGCCUCUGCCUGCAUGGCCUCCAUUCAUUCAUUCAAUAAACAUUUAUGGAACACCUACUAUGUACCAGGCACCGGCUAGGCCCACCCUCUUGGUUCUACCUGCAGUCUGCUCCUCCUCCAAGGUCCCAAGGGUGGGCAUUUUCCUGCCUUCCAAUAUCCUUAGGGUCGUUCCAAGGCAGGGCAGUUUGUCAGGGGACCUCUGGGGAGAAGCGGAGGCUCCAGGUUGGAGCAUGCAGCCCACUGGGGCUAGCCUGGCCUGUCAGGAGAAUACAUGGGCAGAAAAGGCAUCAACUGGGGAGAUCACUCAUGUGGGGAGGGGAAAUGGGCCUGUGAGCCUGUGCUCUUUUGAACACCGCUAUGCAGAGGAGGGGACUAGGUCUCCAGCUGCUAUGCAGUGCCAGUCUCCUCCUUGGCCCCAGGCUCUGACUCAUGCAAUGCCAAGGGACCCUGCUUCAUCUGGACAGUAAUUACAUUUUGUUUUUAGCUAGCUGGCAAUUGGGAAGCUUGGGAACUCUCGUCUUUAAAGCAUCCCUGUUUCUGGAACCCGCUAGCAUCCUUAGACAACCGGGUACACCAUGGUUCUGCCUGCUCUAGGACAGAGCAGGAGGCACGGCCCUCCCUGACUGUCGCCCUGAUCCCUGGGAACUGUUGGUUAUGAGGCCAACAAGAUGGGGACUCUUGGAGUCGGGGUAGAAACACCAGCUUGCAUGGGGACCCACCAGCAGGCUGCUCCUAGCCCACACAUCGGACCUUUUACCUCCAUCCCCACCAGAUACUACUAUGCCCCACAGUGGUUCUGGGUCUCAGAACUCUUAAGACCAUCAACAGCAUGGGGUAUCAUUUGGGGAGCCUCCAAUGGUGAGUCUAGGGUUCUAGAAUGUAUCUGUGGCUCUUUGGUCCUACCAGUCUAUUGAAUCUGGGCCAGGACUAGGAGUCCUCCAUUCUCCAGGACUUUAAACUGUCCCGUGUGUUCCUGGCUUCCCCUUGGCUUUUAGCAGGGAGGUCUUCAAAGAGCAUCCCACACCUGAUGCCCUCCUCUGAGGACUUCUGAUUCUCACCUGCCCUCCACAGUGCUACCUGGGUUUCUGGGUCACAUGGGGAUUCCAGCUGAAUUUUCAGAACAAGCCCCUACCCUGCCACCUGGCCUCUGCUGAGUUCCUGCUCAAAGCUGCAAGGACAUCAGGCCUAAUCUAACUCAUGAGCCAAGUUUGGACCAAAGGGCUGGGGGUUCCGGACAACCAGGGUUUCCUCCCAUGACUCACUGCCUCUCCCAGACCCCAGCAUCCAGGUGUCUCUGGACUCUCAGCCCCACCCAAGGCUGUGGCUAAGAACUCCUCCCAGGUCUGAGUCAGCUAUCUCCUUCCUACCUCCAGGCAGGUGGUGGCAAAGGCCAGCAUGGGUGCCACCUGAGACGGUGUGGAACACCCUCUCCUGGCCCUGAGGGUAGUUGCUCUGGGAGUUGGGGGCCAGCCUGAAGGCUGUCUUGGAGGCUGCAGGGGGCCUGCAGCUGCAGCCCAGAGAACAAGGAGGCUCUGUCCGCACCCAGGGCCCCGGAAACGCCACUGGGGGAGGGCCACCCGUGACCACAGUGAUGACAUGCCUUAAAUCAUGGAAGCUCCUGUGUCUACCCACUCAGGGGGUCUCUCAGGCUAUCCUGCACGGUCAGGGCCAUACUCUCUCAUCACACACAGGGGACCUGGCAAGCUAUCUUCCUGGGUGUUUCCUCUUCUGAGAAAAGGGGACAGGAAGGGGUCUCACUAUAGGGAACAGCUUAGAGGGAGCAGGGUGUGGCACAUAGUAACUGCUCAAUAAAGUUGACUGCUCCAGAAGGUUCUGGAGGCUGGCUCCGGGAGCAAUGGUGCCAACUGGCAAGCCUCUAGCCUCAUCAGCUCCAUGCUGACAGUGGCCGUGCAGAGCCUGUGGCUUGGUCCCUGCCCUGCUCUUUCCUCUGGUCCUGAGAGCACAGCACCCAACUCUGUCUUUCUCCUGACCCCUCUCUGAGGUCCUGGACCCUCAAAGCCCAUUUCCCACCCCAGCCUUGAAGCCUGCAGCAGCCUCGGUUUCUCUCCCAUUGCCAAAGCACAAUGGCUGUUAUAAUUAACGGAUUAUCUCAGCGCGACAGCUGUGCCCCUUUGAAAAUUAGGUUGAAUAACAAGAUCCUGAUGUAUGGUAAUUUCCUUUCAUCUCUCUACCACUUCCUCUCUCCCUAGCCCCAGCCCUGUUACGAAUGCAAAUGCUCUACUCCAUUCCAAACACCUUCCUCCCACUGCAGCCUCCCCUUCCUGGGACUGAGCUUGGGGUCUGCCUUCCCUGACCUCCAGGGGUCUCUUGCCACCCAUGUCUUGACAUCCAUUAUGCCUCCCUCUCUGAAAACAUGGUGGGCAGAGGGAAAUAACAGUCAUCCCAGUCUGAGGAACUGCAUAGCUGCCUUUCUCCCAAAGUCCCUGUCCCUCAGAAGCUUACCUGGGGUACCAACCCCAGCUUGCUGCUCCUCUCCAGCCUGCCUCCUGCCCCAGAGUACAUCUUGGUCCUCUCUGUGGUUCCUAAUAGAUGCUUUGUGAUACCCACCAUCACCUACCUACCCCCCAACAGCCCUGCUCCCGUUGCCUGUCUCCUCCCUAGCACCUGGAAGGACAGACACUCUUCCCGCCCCCACACAUCCUGUCUGGCUUCUCUCCAGCUCCCCACCCUAGGGAUCUUCAUGCCCACCAGCCCCACUCCUGCUGGACUCCACUCUGGCAGCAUCCUGACUGGUCGGCCUCCUGGCUUUACCAACCUAUCACAUCUAUCCUCCUCCCGGCAGAGGGAGAAGAGCUAGAACGCAGAGCUUCCCUGAUUCCUGGCUGACAGGGAAAUUCCAGCACACCCACAGCCCAGCCCCUGUGGCUGGAACCUGCUCUCCUCAUCUGGUUGGGGUGUCCCUUAUGGGUCCCUAUGGCCCUUGGGCUUUGUCCUUCUCCAUCCCUAGCAGAAUCCUGUCACUUGCUUCUCCCCUAAGACUCAGCUCUCCAGGGAAGGCCCGCUUCUGAGUCUCCCCACCAGCCCAAUAAACACCAGCCCUCAGUAGGUGCUCAGUGAAUAUCUACAGCUGCUAAGUAGAGAGGAGAAUCAGCCCUCCCAUGAACAAAUUAAGAAACCGAGGCUCAGAGUGGCUAAUGGUCUCUCACACAGUCAUGCAAGGCAACACCCAGACUGGAGCCCUGCUCUUAGGUCUGAGUUCUUUGUGUUCUCUUCUGAGGCUGUAGGGGAAGACGUUCCCCACAGUGGGGUGGGGGUUCAACACCUGGAAGCCUUAGCUGGGGAGACAGGAUCCCAGGCCAGACUGUCACUCUCUAUAGCUAACCCUGAACCCCAAGCCUCAGCCUACAGAAAGGAGCCACCUCUAUACUGGUCUAUAAGGGUGGCAUCUGGGAGAGCCCUGCCAUGGCUCUCAGGAACACCUCAAAGCAUUGGGGUAGACAGGGUGGGAGAGUCACACAGAGUACGGACCCUCUCAGCGAGAGGUAAUGGUAGGAGCAUUGGUGGGUUGGGGUCAGAUCAUUACCCUGGGCAAUGUUGGGUUGGGUCUGGUUUACUACACUGUGAACUGGGCCCACAAAUACCCACCUCCAUGGGCAGUGGUAAGGACCAACCAUGACAUGCCCAGCACAACACAGAUGCCACACUAACUACAUGGCUGCUGGUCCUAUGGGAGUUCCAGGGACAGGAAGAGGAGGAGUUUGAGACAAAGCAGCCAUGUGUCCCUAACUCGCUCCUCAACAGCCCAUUAUGGCCACCACUGCCCCAAACAGAACUCACAUCCUCAAACUCUCUCACUUUCUCUGAGCUCACACCCUAACAUCUCCUCCUCUAGCCCCACAGAGCCUCUGGGAUGCCUGACCCCAUGCCCUCCAGGUUUUUAUUCCUGAGCCUGAGGAAUGAGGGUUGUUCCCACCUGUCCCUCACCGCCUUGGGGCCCAAAGCUCAGCCCCUUCUCUGCAGGAGGGGGAUGGCCUCCCUGCUCUACUCCACCCCCAAUAAGUGGCCCAUGGAAUCCUGAACAAGCCUGGCCCCACCUUGCCCUCCCAUACUGGGAGGGGAAACUGAGGUAUAGACAAACAGUAGCCUUCCCAUGAUGCACUUCAAGCCUAGGCUCUGCUCCUCCAACCCUCCACAAGGCUUCUCUCUUGGUACCAGAACUAUCUGAGAAUGGGAACCCCCACUUUCCUCUCUGUGUUCCCCAGUGCCUAGCCUAAGGCCUGGCGCAUAGUAGGCACUCAGUAAAUGUCUGUUGAAUUGAAUUGCACUCAGGGCGGCCAGUCGUCUCUGCUCUGGAAGAGAAGCAUAGAGUUAGUGGAGCUGUUUCCAUGGCAACCAGGGGCUGGACCACACUGUUGAGGGAGGAGUUCAGUCACCCGCUACCAAGGACCCCAAGGGCCCUGGAGAGGGGCCUGCUGAGAGGGAACAUUCAGACUUUGAUGACAAGGACCAGAAGAGAUGCAGGAGGCAUGCACAUAGUGGCCUCCAGCUUAGGAGCUGCGAGUACUUGGUACCUAAUGACUAUGAACUGCCUGGGAAUCAUGCCCAUUCUACAGCUGAGAGGACUGAGGCUUGGAGCAGGAGCAGGGCUGCCCUGGAUCCCGUGCUGUAUAGGCAGUCUCCCUGCAGAGUUGGAAGAAGCAAGGCAUGACAACGACAUCCUCAGACAAAGACACAGACCCCACCCCCACCCCACUGAGGGUGGCCCCAGUUCAGCCCAAGCAGCUGAAGACUGUGCAAGCCAAGAACCCAGCAAGAGUUCCCGAGCACAGAAGGGCAAGGUGAGAAGGGGGCUCACCCCCGUUUGCCUCUCCCCACAGGACGAGCUCAGAUACAGCAGCCCCCCAGAGGGUUCAAAGCAGUCCUCAGAUCCCAGGUUGCCAUAGCCUUAGCAGACCCAGAGUUAAUAUAGAUCAGUGGGGUCUAUAAAUAUACAGCUAAGUUGGCCCCGCAGGGCCCCAACCCCAACCCUGCCCAAAGCCGCCUUCCUUCUGGGCCUUGGUUUCCAUGUUUGUCACAGCAAGCUGCACCAGAACAGAGCCUGCCAAAGUCAACAGAGUUCUACCCCAGUAGGGCUGGCUAGGAGAGAGAGGCCCUUAGGGCCCAGGUCAGAGCCCCAGAAGGUAGAAGAGACAAAGGAGGCUCCCCAACCUCCUUGUUCUCUCACAGCCAAAGGUAUGGAGGCUGGGGCCUGCUCACUGCCUAGGAGUGUGGAGCCAUAGUGAAAGAGACCUAGAGUAGAGGUGGGGCUGCGACUUCAACAUCCUACAGCCAGGAGCCAGGAGUCACAAGAGCUGCCUCCAUGGGCCACGCUCUGGGGUAUCCUUUGUCCUCUGGGGCUAUCCCAGCUUGCAAGAGGAAGCAGCAGGGCUUCAUUGGGGGUGAAGCCAGGAGACAGCCCGAGCCACUCUGCAAAAGCCAGGGUGCAGCAGAGCCCAGCGUGGCCUCCAUGCCUACUCUGGAGCUGGAGGAAGGAAAAGGCAGAUGCCACAGGCUGAUUCCGUGCCCACAGCCAGAUGUGGGUCAGAGGCAGAGGCGCACCUCCUGGUGCCUCGAGAGCACCAGGCCCUGCACGCUUAGGAUAUCAGCCACAGCAACAGGAGCACUUGAAGGAGAAGACAAGGCAAGGCUGAGAGGGGACUGUGUAGCCCAGCGGUAAGCACGUCUGGGAUCUGACACAAGUGCCUACUGACUCAUAAACAUGCCGUCCCCAGCAGCAAUGGCUGCAGCAUCUAGGUGCCCCAAGGCCACACAUGGGGAAGGAGCAAGGUCUCAUGGGAAUCUCAACUCACAGGACUCACACAGCAGGUAGAGAAACGGGAGAGCCUUAAGGCCAUCCCCGCCUCUGCACCCCUUAGGACAAGACCCGGAACACUCCUGAGCUGUGUUCAUGCCCUCUGAGUCACAGGAUGACAGCUCAAGCCCGCCCCUCACAGUCAGCAGCCUGGACAUCACUGGGCAUCCUCAAAGCCACCUUCCAGACCCCAUGCAGCUGCUACAAGAAGUGAAGGGUAGACCGACGGUCCCUGCCCCCUUUACAAACUGUAGAGCAUUAUCCUUCACCAGCUUCUAUAAUCCUUUCUCAUCUACAUCUCAACUCUCUUUCCUCCGCCCCCCAGGUUAGGACAGAGGACCUCACAGGUACCCGCCUAGCGCCCCUCACAGCCUUUCUGUCCACUCUUCUCAAAUCCUGCACCAGUGUGGAUAAGUGCGCCCCAGGCCUGCCUUAGCGCACAGGGCUUGCCUCACUGGACUCUCUGCAUCCUGGGAGCCAGCCAUUAGUCUGUUGGUUCCAUCCAUCCUACAUCAAGGACAUAGAGGCUCACGGUGGUUAACUUGGCUUUCUCAAGACAGCCGCACGAGAAACAGACGUUUCGGCCGUGACUCCGUUGAGUCGGAGGACCUGCUUGGGUGUCUCCAGCACUCCGGCCGCUGUGGUCCCCAGUUCAUCCAUGCCCACCUGCUCCCAGUUUAUACAGCUUCCCAGAUGUGUACAAUAUUCAUGUUUUCACCGCAACGGCUCAACACCUCCCCUCCAAGGCCUUCGGGAGCCCCAUUAAUCAUUCAGACACACCUGCAUAUUCAUUAACUUCUGAAUUAAUACAGAGUCCUUUAUUACCUCAGGCCUGCUGCCUGCAUUAGAGACACUUGGACUUCAUUCAUUAUUAAACUCCCCUGAUAAAUGAUCACAUCUCUUCUUCACAAGGGAGGGGCACAGCACCCAGACCCGCGAGCCAACAGGUCUGAUCCCAGUAUCAGCGGCUGUGUGACCUUGAGCAAAACCCUUACCCUCUCUGGGCUUCGCACAUGUUGAACUGGUAAAAUCAGACAGGUCAGUCGCCACUGGCCAGCUUUGUCAAGGUAGUCUUAUCCCACCCUUUGUCCCUGCUCUAUCAGUUUCUUGGACUCACUCAUUCCUUGCUCUCCAGAAGUGAAGUGACCCUAAAGACCACCCAGGGUGGGCUCUGUCACUAAUAGUGGCAGGGAUUAUAGCAGCCCCCAGCACCUCCCGAGCCCACCCCUGCCCCAGGUCUUGAGCUAAGCCCAGCACUGUUCCUCAUAGCAUACACCGUGUUCAGUAUAGAGAGGCAGACAUGGGGUGACUGAGGCCAGCAAAGUCAAGCUUCUCUCCCCAGAAUGGCUAGGGCUGGCUGUGAGCUCCACAAACCAUCUGGUUCGGGCCGGCUCCAUCCAAUGCCUCCUGCCCUCACGGAUCCUUCCACGCGCAUGCUUGCCGGAUGGAGACGCACAUAGCUGGCUUCCUCAGCAGACAUCACAUCGGUCUCCAUUAUGCCUGGCGCCUAGAGGCCCAAACGAAGCGUGAGGAUGCCUUGGUUUGUAUCCCCUUGGCCCCCACCCUGCUGGUGGAAGAACCCUGCCUUCCACCUCCACCACGCUCCUCAGGUGGCUCCAGGCUGAGGGUCACCAACGUCAGCAGGUCUAGCUGCCUCCCCACCCAACUGAGAUACAGGCCUGAAGCUUUGUUCUCAUCCUCUGGUUCUAUCACUGUGGGCCCCCUACCAAGCCCCUGGGUGCCUCUGCUCCAUUACUCCUCAUGCCGAACUUUGGCCUCUCCCCCCUCCCUCUCAUCCCUCAUCUACAAUCUAUGUUGACACCUGCCCAGGUCUCACACUUGCUGCCCCUCUGCCCAAGCCAGUACAGCUCUUAGGCAGAUAGAAAGCAGGACUUCCAGCAUCCCUGCAUCCUCCCAUCCCAAGGGCCACCCAUUGGGGCCUCCUCCUCAGAGCUAGUCAGGAGCUGCCUUGGGCCCAGGUUGAAGCUGGAAGUCUUCUUGAAGGUCACCAUCCCCCAAGGACCUGGCUGUCCCUCAGACUCUACCCACCUUGUCUGAUUAUGGGUUCCUCCCAGACUUGUGGCAUCACACAGCAAGCAGCCCCAACCCACAGCCCUGGUAACAGACAACUGUGCAGUUGAUACCCCAUAAAGAAGCUUCCUAUGGAGUCCCUGUGGCCAGCACUGGGCCACCCACCACCAACAGCUUAACCAGACCACUUCUCAGAUGAAAUCAAGACCCAGAAAGACAGAGCAGUCUGGCCAGGACAGUGUGGCUGGGAUGUAAGCACUACCCUAUAAGAAUCUGGCUAUGGCAAAAUGGAUAUCAGGCCCUGACCACAGGUCGGAUUAUUUAGUCACUCACACCCUGAGGGAUGGGCCUAGUUGUCCUACCCAUCGGAGAGAUGAGGAAAUGGGCCCACAGCAGUGGAGCCACUUGCCUAAGAAGCUAAGAACCCAAAAGCAUGAGAUUGCCCCAGCUGUACCUCUCAAGCUGCUCUGCUUAGAUUGCUCGGGAGUGGGGGAGAAGACACGAACACCACCAACAGCAGAGGCCUGAGCACGGCCUUCCCUCAGCAGCAGACACCAGUCCCUCACAACCUCCACCUCCUCUGUAAGUGCGGGACCAGACUAUCCAGCGCCUCAUCAAAAAAACUUUCUCCAUCGACCAUCCCCAGACCCUGAGCUAUAAAGACAUGUGGAAUGGAGGAAUGGAGGGGGUGGGUACUGACUGUCACCAAAGGGAUGGGAGAUCCAGGGAAUGAGUGACAAAGAGUGACAUGGGACAGGCAACAGCCAAGCCCUGAACCCCAGGGCCACCAGGAAGCUAGAGGACAGACAGAAGCUGGGGAGUCUGGGAAGCUAUGCACCCAGAAGUCUAUGUCCUGCCAAGUACCCUGUCCACCAACUGCACCUGCCAAGGUCUUGUAGCUGCCUGGACUGGGACUCAAAAGGGAAGCAGGGAUAAGGGGUCAGGAGCGUGGGAUGGGACACACGGGGACCCCAGGCAAAUCACAAACCACAAAUGCACUCAAGCUUUAGAGUCUAAAGAUACCUUCCUGAAAGUUAUUUUGUACAACAGUCAGCUCCUAAUUUCUCUUAUAAAAAGCCACUGGGCUUGCAAAAGCAGGGCGGCCUGCCUAGCUUUCUGGACACAUCUGUGUUGUAUGGUCCGCAGGAGCCCUGCAGAGGUGGGGGGAGCAUGAUCGCAGUUCCCUGGCCCCCCCUACACAAGGUAAGUAUACAGUAGGUGAUCAGUAAAUGCAGCCAAUGCUAACUGUCAGAACCUGUGUCCCCAAGUCUGUGAUCAGGCACAAGUACCAUCUGUGGUCUUCCACCUCAACGAAGGUCAGAGCCAGCAGUGACCACAGCCCCGAGGAAGGGAACUGAAGCCAGAGGAGGCGGUGGCUUGGACCAGCCUCAGAGCACCCCAAAGUCCCUCUAGAGCACCUCUUCUAUCCAUUAAUAUUGUCGAGCUGCUGCAAGUUCCCUGCCCCUUUCCUCAGCCCCUCCUCUCUGCCGUCUGACACUUGCUAGUCCCCUAGGUUGGUGGCUCUCAACCUUCUCAAUGCUGUGACCCUUUAACACAGUUCCUCAAGCUAUGGUGACCCCAACCGUGCAAUCAUUUUUAUUGCUACUUCUUAACUGUAAUCUUGCUACUAUUAGGAAUUGUAAUAUAAAUAUUGGAUAUGCAGGGUAUCCAAAAUGCUGACCCCUAUUUGACCUCUGGAGGGUCUUGACCCACAGACUGACAACCACCCUGCUACUGCUACAUCCACUUGCUAGAUCCCGGCAUGCUUGAGGCUCAGCAGGUCUAUCCUACCUCUGCUCCUCAAGCGCCCCCAUGUGUCACGGCUGCCAUCACAAGGCUGCCUGUGGUUCAGCCUGAUCUACAGCUCUGCCUCUCCCACCUUUGAGAAGACCCACCUCACACCUCACACCUCACAUCUCCCCCUUCCCUCUCCUCCUUUAACCUCUCUCUACACUGCCUCCACACAGAGCUUCCCAGAAAGCUCUCUGCUCUGAGGCUGCCCCGUGCUGCUCAAAAUCUUUUGAUAUUUCUGCAGUCCUGGAGAGGGGACCCCAGCUCUUAAAGUCAUAGCAAGCAUCUGUAUAAGAACCUGUAUCUUCCUCCCACCAGUGCUGUGAACUUCCCCAGUGUUAGCCCCGUCACUGCCUCCAGGAAGUCCUUCCUAAUCCCAGGUUUCUCUACUGAAUUGUCCUGUAUUUGGCAGUUCACCAAUGGUCCACAGUUUUCCCUUGAGAGGACCAGGGCAGCAUGGGUCCCAGCAUAAAGGCAACACAGAGAAGGAACAACACUGGAGGCAAAGGGACCGUGUGACCUUCCCGCAGCUUUCCCGGGGCUGUUCUCACUAGUACCCACAACAGGAUCCAGGUCAUUAUUAUCACAACUGUAGGGGCUUGACCAACAUGCGGACAACCUGGCAUCCCAUCUUAAACCUGCCCAGGACCGUCAGGCCAGACAAGUGCAAAGGGACAGGGACAGGGACGGAUGUGGAUGGAGCUUCUGAGAUGAGCCCAGUCCGCAUGUGCAGCUGGCACAGCUGGCCUCUUAUCAAGAUACGUGGGCCCCACUACACAUGGGCAGUCUCUGAAGGCCAGCAGCUGGCCUGGAGCUGACCCUUGCGUGCAUCUGCCUGUGAGAGGCGAAAGGAGCACAAGAGAGAACGAACCUUCACAGACAGCAGCCAAUUGCACCCUGGGAGCCUUGGGCCCCAAGGAAAGAGCAACAAGAAGCACCUGCAACCCAGACCCCCAUUCUUGCUCUAAAGCCUCCAGCUGUGUGACCUCCGGCAGCCUGCACAGCUUGUCUGAGCCAACUUCCUCAUGGGUCUCUAGAGAUGCGAUGUUAGAUGAAAUCAGAGCAGUGCACGCUCGAUGCAGAGCACCUUGUGAAUCAGGCCCUUUCAGGGUCCUCUUCACAAAAGCCUGCUCAGAGCCCUGCCGCCAUAACUGGGGCACCAGACCUGUUAGCCAUGCAAUGCCAUGCAUGGUGACCUCAAACCUUGCACAAUGCCCCCACUCUACAGGUUCCCUCUGGCUCUGCCCUUCCCUCUCACCCUUCAAAAGCAGCUGGGAUGCUGGGCUUCUAGCCCAGCUGUUUCUGCCUGUGAGCCAGUGCAGCCAGCAGCAGCUCCGGCCACUUACUGAAGCCUCCCUUCCACCGAAGAGCAAGCCCUCCUCCGUCCUUCUUGGACCCAAUCCAGGCACCCUUCCCUCCCUGUGUACCGACAGCUAACCGGUCCACAGACAGCUGCAGCAGCUGCCCCCAGGGAAGCCCCCUCCUGGCUGCAGCCUCAGGCUACCAUCUGUGCAGCUACCUGGGUACCAUCCUAGACUUCAGAGUCACCCAGUACCUCCUCGGCUCCCUGGGAAUCUGACAGUCUCCUGUGGCAGGAACUUGGAAGAAGUUCCACUCUAAGCACAAACUACUUCUCCCCACACAAACACACACUCUCUCUCUCUCUCUCUCUCUCUCUCUAGGUACAUGCAUGUGCACAGCAUGGGAACACAUGCCAUACAUGCACAUCUGCAUACCUAUGCUUAUGUGCCAUGUAUGCAUGUACAUAUACCACGCAUACAUAUGCAUGCAAUCCAGUGUGUCAUACAUAUGUACAUGCAUACCACAUACAUGUGUGCUUAUAUAGAUAUGUGCUCACACAUGUAUGAUAUAUAUCUCAUCUCCCCCCCUUCACUGGGGCUGGGCUCUCUGGUUAUGUCCCUUGUUUUGGCCCCUCCUUUGACCCUGUUCCUCCCCAUUCCUGCCCUCUCCAGUGGGCUGCAAGCCCCCUUUUCAUUGUUCCCCUCUAUCCCUUUGCUCUCCCCUCGUGUGUUUGGUCUUGAAACACCAUUCCCACAUCACAGCUCUUGCAUGCCUGACAUGUUCCCUACUGCUAGAAGACACUGAAUCAGUGGUUCUCCUCCAGGCCUUCCUCAUGUUCCCCUCCAGGCCUCCCCGGUGCUGCCUGGUAAGCAUCUCACUGUCUCUAACCCUAGCAUCUGUUCACACCUCUUGGCCUACACAAAGAUUCCACAGCCCCACUGUACUGGCAAUUGCUACCAGGGACUCCAAGUUGCCUCUUACAGGAAGUCCUCCAGCACAAUAGGCUUGGUCUCUGAGCCUGCCCUCUACUUGGCCUUGAGAAUUAAGCAGAAGCUGUGUCUAGUGGCCUCUAGACACACACACACACCCCAGUCCUUGCAUAACGCUUCUCCAUACAGGCCCUGCAGAACUGCCUCUCCCAUGCUGCCCUAGCUCUCAGGGGCUACUCCGUCUACUGUGAUCCUCUUACUCACCACUUCUCCCAUUCCCAUGAGCCUCCAGGGUCACACUCCUAAGCUCCUGUCAUGCCUGCACCCUGACCAGCUUCUGAUCAGUUCUCCCUCCCUGUCUACACCCAGGGGAGGAAAGCAGCACCCAGCAGGUCCUGGCAGAGCACAUGGAAGAAUGGGGGCAGGGAGGAGAGAUGGGGAGAGAGGGUGGAUCAUUAGCCUCUCUGGUCAGCAGCCCUGACCUGUCUGCAGAGGGGCCCCCAUGUGGAAACCCAGAGGAAGGCCCACCUGCACUUGGGAACAAGAGCAAAGGCAUCUGCCUUCUCCCUCCCCAGUCCCCUGGACUCCUGGGACUUAGCUGCCUGGACAGGCCGGAGCCUCUGAACAGGUGCCUAGAGACCAAGUCUGAGCUACCCACAUCCCAGAGUCACCAUAAGAGGUUCUGACUUUUGAAUGGUCACAAUCCACACACAGGAAACUGAGGCUUACGGUCCUGUCACAUCUCCCAGAGUGGUCCAGCAUCCUGCUCCUCUGGGACCACCCCUAAAAGAAAGAACACCCAUUCUCCCCCCGCCCUCCCCCAUGAGCCUCACACCUACCCAACUAGAACAGGUGACAGUGAGGGCUGUGUCUGCAAAACCACAGGCUCCCGACACCCUGCCCAUCUCUAGGCCUGUCACCUGUCACUGUGGCUCACCGCUCCUGCCCUGCUUCUUCCUAUCUGGGGAGAUCCAGUGAGGGCUCAGCCCGAAUCACUCAUAAAUCACCACAUUUGCGAGGGACUUCUGGUUUCAAUAGUGACAGCUGCCAUUGUAAGUCACGCAUGGUUUUUAUUCUGCCCCUCCAGGCCCCACUCCGUGCCUUGCCUUCAGGCAGGCGUGAGGGACCCGUGGAAAGCAGACAGCGUGGUACUGCACUUAGGAAACUCACCACUCCUGAGGAGAUCCACUGGAGACCAGGCGUUGUUAGUGGGUCAUGGUGGGGUGGCUAUGGGACUUCAGGACAACGUCCUAGGCCAGGCCAGAGUGAGGCUCUAGAGCAAGGAUCAAACCCCUCUCAGCUCACAAAAGACAAUGAUUUCAAGAAACAUGAAUCACAGGAAAAGGGGCAUGGCUGCCUGACAAGCCACUGUCAUCUCUGUUCUCCAUUACUGUCAUUGUCCUCGAGGAAACUGAGGCCCAGAGAUCUGAAGCAACAGGCCUCAAACCCCAUUGCUCUGGGACAGCAAAGCUUGUGGCCUUUCCUAUAAGUCCCAGGGCCUCUGAAGCAGCUGAUGGCAGUCACUAGAACAGUCUCUGAUCUAAGGGCCACGUCACUGCUGAUGGCACUGAAGCCAAAGGCUCCCAGAAGCAGCAGGGCAAGAGAAAGCCUAGCCACAGUAAGGGUCACCUGGGAGCCAUGGACACAGCUGUGUCAUGAACUCACCUGGAAUCAGCCAAAGCCAGCUAACACUGGGCAGGAGCAGAGGCCAGCCUUACCUGGAGGUCAGUGUUACCGUGUCACUGGACAGAGCCCGCCUCAGCCCUCACUUACAAACGAGGGGUACAGAUUUCUGCAUACUUCCCAAACAUUAACAGGCUCAUAAGAAAAUGAGAUAUUUCCUCAGCCCCACAACACCCUGCGUUUGCUUAAUUUUGUUUUCCCCUCCCUUCCCCAGCAUCUGAGAUGGUGAGAGACAUGAGAAGCUGCAGAUUCCCGUGUUUCCCUGCCAAGUGGGUCUGCCUUUACCUCCCUCCCUGCUUGCCCUGGAAGGGAACACAUACACACACACACACACACACACACACACACACACACACACACACACACACACACAUUCGGGGGCUAGGUGUACUAUCUUCCUGCUGCUGUGUGACCUCAGGCUCCAGACUUAACCUCUCUGUGGUCUAAUUGCCUCCAAACAAAGUAGGAAUUGUGAUUGCACCCUGUCUGCCUCAGGGUGGGUGUGAGGAUCAAGGCAGAUAAUCCCAGUAAAGUGCUUAGUAGUCUCUUGGCACCGAGUGAGCCCUCAAUAAAUGUUAGCCCUUGUUAUUAUGUAAAGGAGAGAAGGAGAGUUAAAUACCUCCCCCAGCUAAUCCAUUUGUAGAGUUUGCCUUCUGGGGCAGGCUGGCAGCUCCAAACACAGCCCAGCCCGCAGUUUGGUUGUGUUGGCUAGCUCCGUGGAUUUAAACUCCAGCUUCCGUGCCAUCAGGCAGAGCUGGCUGACCACUGGAGCUGGCUGCAAGCCCCACCACACCCUACUGCCUGACUCAGACCCACCCCACAGGCAGCUCCACAUGAACACAGCAGGGUUCGUCGCUCAGGAUUGAUGUAUCUCAAAAGUUGCUUCAGAGCCAGGCACAGUGGCCCGUGCAUGCAGUCCCAGAACAUGGGCAUAGAAACAGGAAGAUCAGAAAUUCAAUGUUAGCCUGGGCUACAUGACACUCCUGCUUCUUCAGGAAAAGGGUUUUUAAAAGACCACCAUGGUGGCCCACGCCUGUACUAAAUGUCAGCACUCAAAGUGCUGAGGCGAUUAUAAAUGUCUGAGGCUAGCCUGUGUAAGACUGUGGGAGAAAGAGAGAAGGAAAAAAGAAAGACAGGAUGUGUGUGUGUGUGUGUGUGUGUGUGUGUGUGUGUGUGUGUUCAUCUUCAUAAUUUCAUGGCCUCAGAAGGUAAGCUAAUGUGGUAGCCCACUUCUGAGCUCCUAGUAUUCAGGAAGCUGAGGCAGAAGGAUUGCCAAAAGUUCAAGGCUACAAAAUGAGUUUUCAGUCAAACAGACUCUCUCUCUCUCUCUCUCUCUCUCUCUCUCUCUCUCUCUCUCACACACACACACACACACACACACACACACACACACACACACACACACACACACAG